GGCCCGCUAGCUCAAUUGGCAGAGCAACUGACUCUUAAUCAGUAGGUUCAUGGUUCAACUCCGAGACGGGUCACCA
rnacentral:tRNA from 1 species